UUGGUCAUUUAGAGGAAGUAAAAGUCGUAACAAGGUCUCCGUAGGUGAACCUGCGGAGGGAUCAUUACACAAAUUAAAAUAUGAAGGCUUCGGCUGGAUUAUUUUUAUCACCCUUGUCUUUUGCGCACUUGUUGUUUCCUGGGCGGGUUCGCCCGCCACCAGGACCACACCAUAAACCUUUUUUAUGCAGUUGCAAUCAGCGUCAGUAUAACAAAUGUAAAUCAUUUACAACUUUCAACAACGGAUCUCUUGGUUCUGGCAUCGAUGAAGAACGCAGCGAAAUGCGAUACGUAGUGUGAAUUGCAGAAUUCAGUGAAUCAUCGAAUCUUUGAACGCACAUUGCGCCCUUUGGUAUUCCAAAGGGCAUGCCUGUUCGAGCGUCAUUUGUACCCUCAAGCUUUGCUUGGUGUUGGGCGUCUUUUGUCUUUGGCCUCGCCCAAAGACUCGCCUUAAAACGAUUGGCAGCCGGCCUACUGGUUUCGCAGCGCAGCACAUUUUUGCGCUUGCAAUCAGCAAAAAGGACGGCAAUCCAUCAAGACUACAUUUUUACGUUUGACCUCGGAUCAGGUAGGGAUACCCGCUGAACUUAAGCAUAUCAAUAAG
rnacentral:rRNA from 1 species